rnacentral:rRNA from 7 species
AACGGAUAUCUCGGCUCUCGCCACGAUGAAGAAUGUAGCGAAAUGCGAUACUUAGUGUGAAUUGCAGAAUCCCGUGAAUCAUCGAGUCUUUGAACGCAAGUUGCGCCCGAGGCCUCGGCCGAGGGCACGCCUGCUUGGGCGUCGC